ensembl:lncRNA
UUCCCUUCCCUUCCCUUCCCUUCCACCUUCCCUUUUCCCUUUCCUUCCCUGUUGGUGCCAGACAGCACGCAGCAGAUGAUCCCCAGAGGGGUAUGCUCAGCACACACAAACAUGAUGUUUACUGGCUCUGGGAUGGAUCAGGGAGGGAUUUAGAGUCUCCGAGCUUGGCUGCACAGCUCAGAGAUCCCCCUGCAAGUUCAGCUGCAGGAAGUGGCUGGUGUGAAACUGCACAGCAAAUCCCCAGGCCUGGGGCUCUUGUUCCUGUCAGUCCAUUGCCUCCUGCUUCAUUUUCCCCUGCAGCCCUUUGGCACUUGCUUUGCAGCGGAGAGGAGGAUGCUUUUGCAGCCAGAAGCCAGCUCAUCCCUGCUACCACGGGGAGCCGCAGCCACAGACUGAAACCACAGCUCACCAGCAAAUGCAAAACAAUGUGCAAAACAUGUUUUAAUGUCAGGUUUUUAUUAAAAGUGGACUAAGAGAUUAAGAUGUUCAUCUGCCUUGCAGGGAGUGACUUUAUAAAUCUCAGCUUGCGUGCACUCGUGGAGCGUUGCUAAUCACCAGGCUGGAUCCACAUCACGUGUGCACGGACUGCUUGCUCAUGGAAAGCUCUCUUUCUCCCGGCAGUGAGAGCUGGGGCUCAGUGAGACCUCCUGGGGCUUAAUGUAGGUUCCCACUGACACAGAGUUAUUGUGUUUCUUUCCCAUUUUAUGCAUUCUGCUCUUCAGGCCUUCUGCACGUUGGUGACCCCGUGCUUUGAGGACUCUGUGUGGAGCAUCACUGGGUCAGCAGGGACCCACAGCUGGCAUGGGAUCCCAUACUGGACACUGUUAGAAGGUACUUUGAAUGCCACAGGGAUGGUGGUGACCACUGCAAAGACCUUUGAAAUCAGCUGGGGUGUUAAACUCUCUGCCGUGCUGAACUGCAGUGGUGGAAGUGAUUUAGGAGCACUUGAAAAUCUUGUCCUUGAUCUCUUAAGCUUGUCAUAACCACAGGAUUGGAGCAGCUUUGGCGAGAGAUGAUUUGGUUCCUGGCUUUUUUUUUCUUCCUCUCCGCUUGUUUUAUUCUCCUAUAAGCAUUCAUCCAGAAAUUCCCCUUUGCCGUGCUGGAUUGAUGGCUCUGGGACAAUCAGCAGUAUUCUGCUGCUGUUAGGAGUUCUAAAGGCAGUAAAGUUGGGUCCUUGAAGUGCUGUCAGUAAUCAUUUUUAUGGUGGUCAGAUUGCUCAUUAGCACACUUGUUUUCAGAUAUUUAAGCUGGAAAGAAAUCUAUAGUCCUUGCAUUUUUAACUUGAUAACCACUCAAUAGAACAAAUAGAGUUGGAAAUUAGAGCAGAGCUGGACUGGAAGAAAUAGUCCUGAAUGCUCACCUUUUACCCCAAAGGUCUAUGGAGACAAUUGCUUUGAGAACACAGCUUGGAGGAGCACAUACAUUCCCAGACUACCGAGAGGUAAUAACAGCUCAGGUUUACAGUGGUGAUUAGCCAGUGAGAUGGGUCUGGAGGUAGCCCUAAAAUAGGUAAAUUGAAAGCUUCUGCUCUGGGUCUGGGUGAAAAACAAAGACUGGAUUGGAGCAUUUGUUUGCAGGACAUGAACCAAAAGGAACAGCCCAGAAAGUCCUAAAUAAUUCCUCCCAGAACCUGGAGGUAACUGGCUGGAUUUAGAGCGGUGCUGGAGUGGCUUUUCUUAAAGCCCUGUUUCUCCAGGCAGGGUUGUGAAUGGCUCUUGUGCACACGAUGGGAUCUGGGGUCUCGGCAGCUGGUUGGGAACUGCUCUGUGUCCUGGUGCAUGAUGUGGGAGGCGUCCUCUUGGGGUCUGCAUUUGCUUCAUGCUGGCUGCAGUGUCAGAAAGAGAGAGGAAAUCCAUAGAGAAGAGGAAUGUUGAAGUAGGGAGCUGUGGUGGGAAAGUAAUGCUUUCUUCCUGAAAAAGUGACCCAUCCCUGGACCAUGGCCUUUCUGCCUUGGACCAGCAGCUGUCAGCACAGCGACAUAUCUGGGGACACUCAUCAGAGAUGCAGCAUUUUGGCCCCUGGUGCUCACCCGCACCUCCCAGAGUGCUCUCUUCCAUGCGGGGCACAUCUCAGCAGCUGCAUUUCCCCCCCACACCUUCAGUUUAGGCAAUAAAGCAGCAAAGGGUUGGGGGGUUGACUGAGAU